rnacentral:rRNA from 1 species
GAUGAACGCUGGCGGCGUGCCUAAUACAUGCAGGUCGAGCGAACGGACGAGAAGCUUGCUUCUCUGAUGUUAGCGGCGGACGGGUGAGUAACACGUGGAUAACCUACCUAUAAGACUGGGAUAACUUCGGGAAACCGGAGCUAAUACCGGAUAAUAUUUUGAACCGCAUGGUUCAACAGUGAAAGACGGUCUUGCUGUCACUUAUAGAUGGUUCCGCGCUGCAUUAGCUAGUUGGUAAGGUAACGGCUUACCAAGGCAACGAUGCAUAGCCGACCUGAGAGGGUGAUCAGCCACACUGGAACUGAGACACGGUCCAGACUCCUACGGGAGGCAGCAGUAGGGAAUCUUGCGCAAUGGGCGAAAGCCUGACGGAGCAACGCCGCGUGAGUGAUGAAGGUCUUCGGAUCGUAAAACUCUGUUAUUAGGGAAGAACAUAUGUGUAAGUAACUGUGCACAUCUUGACGGUACCUAAACAGAAAGCCACGGCUAACUACGUG